rnacentral:misc_RNA from 1 species
GAUGAAGAACGUAGCGAAAUGCGAUAAGUAGUGUGAAUUGCAGAAUUCAGUGAAUCAUCGAAUCUUUGAACGCACAUUGCGCCCUCUGGUAUUCCGGAGGGCAUGCCUGUUCGAGCGUCAUUAUAACCACUCAAGCUCUCGCUUGGUAUUGGGGUUCGCGGUUCCGCGGCCCCUAAAAUCAGUGGCGGUGCCUGUCGGCUCUACGCGUAGUAAUACUCCUCGCGAUUGAGUCCGGUAGGUCUACUUGCCAGCAACCCCCAAUUUUUACAGGUUGACCUCGGAUCAGGUAGGGAUACCCGCUGAACUUAAGCAUAUCAAUAAGCGGAGGA